rnacentral:rRNA from 1 species
CCCCGGUAGUCCAUGCAGUAAACGAUGGGUGCUAGUCGUCGGACUUAUGUUCGGUGUCGUAGCUAACGCGUUAAGCACCCCGCCUGGGGAGUACGGUCGCAAGAUUAAAACUCAAAUAAAUUGACGGGGACCCGCACAAGCAGUGGAGCAUGUGGUUUAAUUCGACGCAACGCGAAGAACCUUACCAGCUUUUGACAUGGGAAGUACCGGUUACAGAAUGGUAACCUUCAGUUCGGCUGGCUUCUACACAGGUGCUGCAUGGCU